AUGGUUUUGAUCAGGACGAUUUCCAAGUCUUCUGUUGUGAUGAAGGACAGCUCUAAAACUGGAGAGUUUGUUUGUGUCAGACUCACAGAGCCGUGUCUCUCUGAGGUUUUUGUACGACGACUCGACCAGUUUGUAUCACUGUGGUGGACGUUUGGUGGAGGAACCAGACUGGAUGUUGGAAGUGAUACCCGUCCCAUCCUGACGGUGCUGCCUCCCUCCAGUGAGGAGCUGCAGCAGGGGAAGGCCACGCUCAUGUGUCUGGCCAACAAGGGCUUCCCCUCAGACUGGAGUCUGUCCUGGAAGGUGGACGGCAGCAGCAGCAGCUGGGAGGAGGACAGGAGCCCCGUGGUGAUGAAGGGCGGCCUCUACAGCUGGAGCAGCACCCUGAGGCUCACUGCAGACCAGUGGAGGAAGGUGGGCUCUGUGACCUGUGAGGCCACCCAGGGCUCCCAGUCUCCAGUCUCAGAGUCACUCAGGAGAGACCAGUGUUCCCAAUACUGAUGGGACUCACUGCAU